CGACAUUCUCUGUUCAAGAUGACAGUACGCAUGCUCACACUGUUUGUAACUUUGGACCAAUCAGGGAAAACAGGGUGAGGGAAUCUCAGUAUUUGAAUUGGAUAGAAAUUGGAUAGGAAAUUUAUAUGUAAUGGAAUUUGUGGAAUGUGCUUUAUCGAUGUAUUAAAUGGUAUGGAAUGCGUUUGCACAAGGCCAGAGAGUUUGGGAGAAAUCCCUCCUGGUCCUUUCUGUGCAGAUAAGAAAAUAAAAUACUCAGGACUUCUUUUUCACUCAUUGCCUCAUGUGAGUUUUUGCUGUCUGUGAGACAGAGCAAGUUAUUGCCUGCAACAAUGGGAGCAAUCAGCUAUGCUGCCCCUCAACAAAUAGAAUAGCCAUUUGAUUGGUCCAAGUCAGAUAAGUUACCUUGUAGUUUGCCAAACUAUUUCAUUUUUUAGUGGCCUAGGGCCUGCUCUGAAUUUGUCUCACUCACCAGCUAACUAGUUUGGUCCUCACUAUAGUUUGUAAGGUGAGGUACACAGGGAUCACACAGUUAAAUAUGCUAACUGCGACUAGUGGACUUAAGGCAUGUAUUUCCCUACUCACAAAAAUAUAAUAUAUAUUUAUUUUAUAUAUAAUAUAAAAUAGAAGUGUCAUUUGCUUCUAAUUAGAGGAUUUCCAUUUAAAACAUGAAGUUUUGAAGCCCUAUGCAGGGCCAGGCAGAGUGAGGCGCCUGCCCUAGGCAACUGAUUUUAGGUGUCAUUAAGUGAUGGCAAAUUCUUACUUAUUUAAUUUAUUGUUGUUGCAUUUUCAUUUUUUACUGUUAGGGCCAUGUGGUAUGUUCUGCCUCAAGUGCCAAAAGCUGAUCAGCCUUGAGUCCCAUAAGACUGGACAGGGGGUGGUGGAGAGGGGACAAUUACUGCUCAGACUACCCUGGUUCUACAUUUCCUAAGACUGCCACUAGCUGCAUUAUUCCCUCAAUCCUCUGUUAGGUGAGAGAUGAACUCGUUUCCAGUUCUCACCCUACUUACACCUCCUGCUCUAGGCCUGUGUAGGGAGCAGUGUCAGGAAUGUGAAGCUGCAGAGACCACCCAUCUUUUUGCCUCUACAGCAGAUCCUUUCUCUGGCUCUUCAUUUCUUUAGCCAAGAAGCAACAAUUAGAACAGCAUUUGAUAAAUUGUUUUGUGUGGCCUCGGACAACUGCUCCACAAUUUCCUAGAUUGAAGUCAGUGAUUGCAGUAUUUUGUUUAUCAUAGUUUCUCCAGGAUCCUAUCAGAGCAACCAAAUUAAGUCCAGGGGUGCCUAGAAACCAGGAUCUGGUUUGACUCUUCAGAGAGACAUGUUUCUGUCUAAAACGCCCCUGAAGGAUGCAGUGAUUGAUACCGUUUCAGAAUAUAGCAGCUUCUGAAAUGACCAGAUGAAUGUGGCUGAGAAGCAUACAAGGAAAUGGCUCCACAAACUCUACAAAUCACAGUUUUGCACAGGA